AAGGAUCAUUGUCGAAACCUGCCCAGCAGAGCGACCCGCGAAUUUGUUAAAACAAACCCGGUCGGAACGACGAGGGGCGUGCGCCCUAGAUCGUCCGUCUGUAGGACUGCGGCCCCUGCUUCGAUCUUGCCGAACGGUUUGUCGGAGGGGUGGGCCGCCGCGUCCGCACAAAACCCAAAAUCGGCGCGACAGGCGCCAAGGAAAUCUUAGCGGAGAGGGAAGGUCCCCCGCAUGCGGGUGCGUCCUUCUCAACCCGAUACUUGAACGACUCUCGGCAACGGAUAUCUCGGCUCUUGCAUCGAUGAAGAACGUAGCGAAAUGCGAUACUUGGUGUGAAUUGCAGAAUCCCGUGAACCAUCGAGUCUUUGAACGCAAGUUGCGCCCGAGGCCACUAGGUCGAGGGCACGUCUGCCUGGGCGUCACACACAGCGUCGCACCCCGCCAUCCAGUAUGUCGGGAAGCGGAGAUUGGCCCCCCGAGCCCGUAAGGGCACGGUCGGCACAAAUGUUGGUCCCCGGCGGCGAGCGUCGCGGUCAGCGGUGGUUGUAUUUCUCAUCCCCCAAAGACAUCAAGACGCGUCGGCCUCGCAGCAUGUAGGGAUAAAUCGACCCCACGGAACCGCCUCGCGCGGCAUCCAACCUGCGACCCCAGGUCAGGCGAGACCACCCGCUGAGUUUAA
rnacentral:rRNA from 1 species